GGGGCCGAAGUGGUUUCGACCGGGCAGGGAAAGUCUGAUCUGGCGCGUCGAGGAGCAUGCCGGCCUCGUAAAAAGCAUGCACACAAACAGUUGCCAACAGCAACUACGCUCUCGCGGCCUAAUUUAGGUUGCGCGAUCCCCGCCCGAGGCCUCGUGAGGCGGGGAUCGAAAACACGAGGCUGGCCCGCGUGCGGCGCACCCAGGAGCGCGGGCGAGACCUGAUUGGGGGCUGGUCCCGUCCGCACGUUGCCGGUGGCGGACGAACGGGACGAGAACAACGCACCGGACACACGCGUAGAUGGGUCAGGCGGACUGCUCCGGCACGGGGGUUCGAUUCCCCCCGGCUCCAUUC
rnacentral:tmRNA from 1 species